GGGAUAAAUUAACAUUUUCACGCAAGGAGUCAGGAGUGUCAUUAUAAAUACUUUUGCCCGUCUAAGAAAUAUUUUUGGCAAAAUCUGUGGCAAAAUGGUUAAAUUCGAUAAGAUUUAUACACAAUUUGUCGAAGGUUAGUAUUAUUGUUUGUUUUAAACUGUGAGAGAAGAUUAAUUGUGAACUAGAACACACCUCUGAGGCUCUGACCGAGUAUUUAGGGAAAUGUGCCUUCAUUGGCUUCGUAUUCUUCGUAUAGCGUUUAUAUUUUAAAAUGUUUUAUGUUUAUGUGUAGUUUUUGAUAUUCUUCAUAGUGGAGUUUAAAUUGGCCUAAUUUAUAGUUAGUUACCACUAGAAAUGCGACGAUAUUUUGGUAUAUCAUAUAUGCAACAAUGUUUACAACUUUUGAAUAAUAUGUGAUUUGGUUUUAUUUCAGAUACUAUUAAAAAAGUGAUUUGCUCAUUUGGCUGAUGUUACAGUUUUCUGAUGUGUUUUGUUUGGAUGAUAUUAGAACAAUUUCAGUAUGAAAGUGCAGGUGUCUUUAGACAUGAGCCAUAAUGUAUAUAUCAAAAUACUUAUAAAAUCCGUUUCCAGCUUGAUUGUAUUUACAUUGUUGCAGACAAAGUUGUGCAAUGGUGGGCUUAUGUCACAUACUCGUAUGUAAUUCCAUGUGCAUGCUUGUACUUUGAUGCCUUAAGAGAUGCUUCAAAUGUGUAAUAAAGGGCUGUUCGCAGGAGUUGGUUUGUCUGGCCUUAAAUUGCAUUGUUUUUAUGUUAUUUUAAUAUUGUAUUCAUAUGGCUAGCUGGACCAUCUUGCCAUUGCCACAAUGUCUGAAGUUCAAGCAGGCGUUAAAAUCAGGUUACAAUUCAUGCUUGAAAAUAUGCAACAAUUUCACUGCUAAUAAUAUUCCAGAAAAUCCUGCCUUUUAGGCAGAUCUGGACUGAUUUGUCUGAGGGGGUUGGAGGUUUUCUACUUGUGAUCGGGCAAGGGGAGCUAGCCAAGGGUGCUGGGUCAGAGUCAAACUCAUGCGAACAGCUUCUAAGGUCCUAAUUAUAUUGAUAAAUUAUGUACACUUUGGGAUGGUAAUGUAUGGUAAAAUAUUCCACAUUUUGUUUAAUAAAAUUUAAUUAUAUACAUUGUUAUUGUUGUUUAUAUUAACACCUUGCAUAUUGGACAGUGUAUAUUUACACCUUAGGACCCUGUAACAAACACCUUUGGAGGGUGUGCCCAUUCUAAGCCAAAGAUGUUUAAGAACAAUUAUCAAGGAAUUUGCAUGAUAAAAUAUAAUUAAAACUGCUCUCUAUAUACAUGUAAUGCAUGGUUCAAUUCUUGCUUUUACCAACUGAAGUAAACCCAGGGACUUUCAAUGUCCCCCUCCUCCCGUAGAAUUCACUUGAAGUGACUGGGGCAAGGUAGCUAUAAGUAUAAGUAGGUAUAAAAGUCAAUUAAUAUUUACAAAUAGAGCUUUUUGAAUAUAGACCAUUGCAAAAAAUUUUUAAAUUUGUUUAACCCGUUAUAUAGUGGCAAUGUGCCCUACUUUAGUAUAUUACCCGUCUGGUGCCAGACAAUUUUACUCAAGGGCAGAAUGUAGACUUGCUGCAAGUCAACCUCGAACAAAAUGUCUGCUCACACUCGCUGCUUGCGUUUCGUUCGAGGUCGACUUGUGGCAAGUCUAAGCAGAAUG